rnacentral:lncRNA from 1 species
CCGAGUCGGAUAUCUUCGGCUUCGCAGCCCGACCCCGAGUCGGCUGCCCCUUGAUCCAGUAACCCGACCCCGAGUCGGAUAUCUUCGGCUUCGCAGCCCGACCCCGAGUCGGCUGCCCCUUGAUCCAGCAAUCCGACCCCGAGUCGGCAAUCUCUCGACAACGACAGGCUGUUCCCCUGAAGCACGCCACGACCCUCUGCUCCACUACUUCCUGCAACGGUCGUAUCCGGCGCUGCUCCACGAUCUCCUGUAACAGCCGUACAAGGCGGAGCUCCACUACGCCCUGUCACGGCCGUACCCAGCGCUGCCCCACGACGCCCUGUAACGGCCAUGUCAGUGGCAACUCCAUCGUGCCACACGAUGACCAACCCCCCCGAAGGACCCCCCAGCCUGGUAUAUAUGCUGCGGGGGGAGAAGGGGGGAGGUAAGCAAGAACUUCCAGAGCAUUCUCCUACUACCUGCAAUUAUCUCUCCUUCUCCUCCAAUCUCCUCUGACUUGAUCGUCGGAGGGCCCCCACUACCCCAGUGGUGGUGCGAGGCUUGCUUGCAGGUUUUCCGGUGGAAAGUGGAGCGUAAUCAACACCAACCAAGGCGACUCAGACGGAACCCCGUUCACACCGCUGUGCCAAUCGUUCUCGGUUUGGACCACCAGCAACA